rnacentral:lncRNA from 1 species
CUUACAAUAAAUGUUUUUUCUUUCAAAAAAUGAUUAAAAAAUAAAUGCUGUAAUUUAAUUAAUAUCAGAAAAUAUUGUAAGCAGAAAGUUAUAUAUGUUUGUCCUUUCUAAAAUGAUUUAAAAUCUAAGGGUGGUAGGGUGUGUGUGAACUUAAAUUUGAAGAUAUAAAAGAAGUAGAAAAUUGAGGGUUUGAUGUCAAAGUGCAAUGAUUGAAAUGUUCAGAUAAAGUAAGAUAGGUGUUAAUUAAAAAAAGUUAUGAAGAAUUAAUUGAAGAUAGUGAGCUCGUGGUACAUGUUUAAGAAAAAUGUUGCAAUAUACACGGGUGAGCUUUAAAGAUGGUCAUUGAUUAGUUGGCAAAGGAUAUUCUUGUAUAAACAUCAAACACAUGGAGACAAAAGAAAAGAAGAAGAAGAAGAGAAUUAGCUAAGAGGACAAAGCAAAGGAACAUCUUUCAAAGUUAGUCCUCAAAUAUUGUAGGAUUUUAAGGAAGGUUGAGAGAUGAUGAGUGGGGGCCAAAUAAUGACUUGAAGGAAUGUUUCAUCAAAGAGGGUCAAGAUCCAUGUCAACCCCACUCCACCAAAG